rnacentral:lncRNA from 1 species
GAGAAUUCUGGGAGGAAGAAGGGCAGAGUCAGAGAGAGUCGCAGGCAGACACAGAGAGAGCAAGAUGGGCACAACAUACUGAGAAAAGACUUCUCAAAUGUAGCCUUUUGGAUUUGAGAGGGAAACUCAUUUGGACGAGAUCUGCAAUGGACCUUGACCUAGUGUUUAAUUCUUUGUGUUGUUUUCCGAUUACUUCCACCCGAGGAUAACACUGCAUCUCUUCCAAGGCCCAGCUGCAGAAGAUAACACGGCUGGGGGUCCAAGAGUAUGAUGACAGCAUGUGCUCAGUGAUGACAGAUCUUCCUCCUGCUUCAUGAUGACAUGACAGAGGGUAUCACAUGGCAAGACAGAGUGACCUUGCUGCCUCCAGCCUCUCUUAAGACACUUGCUCACGUCUGUACAGAUCAAGAAGUAUAUGACAGCUUGGAUGGGAACCCCAGCAGCUACCACCUUCAGAGUCUGCACCCAGUGACUCACUUCUGCUUAUGAUACCACCCAUAACCUCUCAGAAUGCACCACUAGCUGGGGACCAAGUGUCCUGUGGAGGCCAUUUCACGUUCAAACUGUAACAGGGACUUGGUUUCUCCAACAUGAACUUUGAGGGGACACAUUCAAACCACAGCUGAGGGGAUGGGUGUUGCAUCUUUUCCUUGGUUGUAACAAACAUGGCCCCUGCCACAAAUAAACAGUAUUACAAUCUAA